rnacentral:rRNA from 1 species
AUACGGAGGGUGCAAGCGUUAAUCGGAAUUACUGGGCGUAAAGCGCGCGUAGGCGGUUAUUUAAGUCAGAUGUGAAAUCCCUGGGCUCAACCUAGGAACUGCAUCUGAUACUGGGUAACCAGAGUUUUCGAGAGGUAAGUGGAAUUUCCGGUGUAGCGGUGAAAUGCAUAGAGAUCGGAAGGAACACCAGUGGCGAAGGCGACUUACUGGCCAAAAACUGACGCUGAGGUGCGAAAGCGUGGGUAGCAAACAGGAUUAGAAACCCGAGUAGUCC